rnacentral:lncRNA from 1 species
CCAGGUGGCUGGAGCUCUGUGGGCCUGGGCCGGGCUGGAAGCUGACCCAGCCCUGGGCUGAGGCCAUGGCUGUGAUCUCCCCCAGGACCGUUCCAUCUUCGCUCUCUUCGUCUUCAGCUCCUUCUGCUUCUUGCCACCAGAUGAACUUCCUGCUGAGUAAUUGGAGCUGGAGAAAUGGUGCAUCCAUCCAGCUGCUGCGCUUGGAGACUUUGAUUAAGGGAAAGAAGCCUCCUCACCAGUCUCAGGAAGAAAAAUCCUAGAGAAGGCUCUGAUUAGACCAACAUGGUCACAUGGCCACCUGUGUAGCAGGAGAGAAAAGGAACACACUGUACGAGAGAGGAGAAGCAGUUCUCUAAGCAGAAGGGAGCUGUUUGUUACUAGAUGAAGGAGACAGAGCACUGGGCAGACAAGUGGAACAGAUGUCCCCUCCAGGGAAAGACCUUGAAUUUCUCCCUUGGACUCUGCUCCUCUCCUAGAGCCUCCUUCCAGUUUGGAAAAAGUUCUCCACUCCCAGUUUGGGUGUAAGGCCUUCACUUACACCCAAGUGUAACUGUGUAAGGCAAUCCUGUUUGAGGUCUGUCAAUCUGAGCUUGACCUUGGCUCUAUGAGCCCUUACUGGGUGGGGGUCUCAGGCAAGUCUGUGCCAUGCAUUUCCUCAUUGCACAUGGGGAUGACAAUGACUGU